AUGUACUACGACAUCGAGAUCAAGCUCGCCGUGGACAGGUCGAGGAACCGCGUGCUGUUCGCCAAAGCCGGCUCCGACUUCGUCGACGUCCUCCUCUCCUUCCUCACGCUGCCGCUCUCCGCCCUCCAGUCCUGCGCACCAUCUCCGGGGUGCCUCUCCAACCUCUGCAACAGCGUCGACCACCUCAGGAACAGCGGUCUGCUCGAGGUCGAGGCCUGCCAUGGCAAGCUUCUCACGCCUGCCCACACCGACGAGUUCGACGAAGAGUUCAGAAAAGAGGCGUUUGUACGUGGCACCGGACGGUUUGUGAUCAGUGAUGACAUGACAAUCAAGCCAGCAUCUACCAGAGUCAUACAGUCGCUGCCUCAGGCGUUCGGUUCUAAUGGAAUCGCCCAUGGCUUUGAGGAGCUCAAAGUGACCGUCAGCUGGUCUACCGUUUUAUUCAUGUUGAAGGCCUUCCUUUCUUCAGAUACCAUACUCACUGACGCAUUUCUAUCAAAUGAAUCUGAUACCAAGGUUGCUCAUGGCAGUACUAUGAAGGAGCAGAGCUCAGAAAGUUCUACUGCCGAUCAAGAUUCUGCAGGUUCUUCACCAGAAACCAAGAUCAAGGUUUUCUACGACACCUGUGAAAAGGAGGUCGUGUAUGCUGAAUGUAACAGCGAGUUCGUGGACCUGCUCCUGGGUUUCUUAACCUACCCUAUCAGCUGUGUGAUCAAGCACACAGGAGCCGGGCCUUACCAUCUUCGCAGGUGCUUCCAAAAUCUCUAUAGUGGCGUUGCAGAUCUCGCCAAUGCUGGGUGCUUCAAAGGUGGUCUCCCCAGUAUUUUGAGCAACAUCAUGUCUGGUCGGUGCCGACCGCUUGACUGCCGGUGUCGGAAGGACACGAUGCCAGAGCUAGCACCGUAUUGCUUCCAUCCUGAGAUUGUCAAGGAUCGGAGGUAUGUCAUAGGGGAUGAUCUACUUAUUUAUCAGGCCACUGCCAUGUCCAUGAUGAAGUACUGGUCUGGGAGGUACAAGGACAUGGUAAUGGAGAUGGACAUUACUGUCGGCAAGCAGGAGGCUGUUGCGCUGCUGCGAGCCGCGCUUACUUCGUCGAAGAAUGCACUGACCGAAGUGUUCAUUGACAAGCUGGAGAAAGAGUCCCUUCUACAGAAGAUCAGGAUAUUUGCCAAGAUCCCCUUGGGCAAGACCAUAACCGUGGAGGUCACGAGAUCCGACACCAUUGCCACCGUCAAGAGCGUCAAGGAGAAGGCGUCCAUUCCUGCAGGGUAUCCUCAUGAAUUGGUCUACGGUAGCAGAUAUCUUAAAGACAUGUCAACCGUUGCUGAUUACAAUCUUGUCAAAGAAUGUACCAUCACCAGCGAAUUUUUCAGGAAGUGA
rnacentral:rRNA from 1 species